UAGCUCAAUGGUUAAGAGCACUGGCUGUUCUCCCAGAGGACCUGGGUUCAAUUCCCAG
rnacentral:tRNA from 1 species